GACGGGCGCCGCAUGGAACAAAUCGUCCACAAUGACUGACUAGCUGGCACCGUCACCACACCAUACCCGCCAACGCAACGCACCUCCUUGCUCAGUAUAAAUACAGCAAUGUCUCAGAUUAGAUACCAGAUCUUCUCGCAUUCUUUGAGCGUGAAUAAGAAGCAAGCAAAAGAUGGGGAAAAUGCUCCUGUUUCUCAUUGGCAUGUUGCUCGUUGCGGGUGCGUCCGCAUUGACUCCAGAACAAGAGGCGAUGUAUAAGUGCAGCCUCCAGAAGGGAACAUGUCAGGUGACUUGCCCCGAUGGCUUUAAGGAAAGCGGAGCGUGCCACGGUGAGGAGAAAUGUUGCACCAUGUAAAGCGAAAUGAAUCUUUCACCAAGGAACUACGUUUCGUUUGGGUCUGAUAUCAACUGAUUGUCAAGAAAAACAGUGUGAAAAGCUGAAUUGAUAAACAAUAAUUACUCACUG